ACAGCUGGUUCUGCUCAACUCCCAGAGAUGAUUUUCCAAAAACCCCAACACUUCCAUUUGCCCGGGCUGCCAGAGAGAGAAAGGGCAUCCUCAAAGACACUGAAGACCACCUUCUAGAAGCCACCUGCACUGUCUAUCAUGUGACUGGCUCUGGGUGCCCUCUGUCUUGCGAAAGGGGCUGGCUCAGAUGGCAAAGAUAUUCCAGAUCUUCCUGAAGAAGACAGAAAGAGAUGCUCAGGUUGGGGAGGGAAUGAGACCCCUGGGGAAGGGACUCCUCCCAGCUGAGGAGUUGAUUAGAAGCAACCUUGGAGUUGGCAGGAGUCUCAGAGAUUGCCUGAGUUAGUCCAAGAAGCAGGCUGAAGGAGUUUGGGAGCAAGAGACUAAAACCAGCCAAGUUUGGGACAGAAAGGAAGGAAAGGGUUGAGCGGUGAACAGAAAGACAAAGAACAGGCAGUUCCAAAGAGCCAAGAAUGCAAAUCAUUUGCAGACGCCGCCAGCGAGAGCCUCCACCGAGGCUGCUGUGCCGGGGGUGCCUGACGCUGUGGGCACAGCCACUUCUACACGUCACGGCAUAUGAGAAUACAGGCCACUGGGAGAGACUCACAUCUAUGGUUUCUUCAAAAACACUGCAGCCCACAGUGAUCUCUCAUUCUUCCAUUUCUAUCACAUUUAGUCAUUACCCUCCAGCCACACCAGACUCCUUUCUUGUCCUGGAACCUAUCAGACUCUUUCCUGUCUCAAGCCUCUCCUGUCCUCUCUGCUUAAACAGUGGCUCCUGCAGAGAAGGCAUCAGAAUCUCCUGGGAGCUGAUUGGAAAUGCACAUUCUCCAGCCCCUCCCAGACCUCCUGAAUCAGAAUCCCUGGGGUGGGCCCAGCAAGCCCGCUUUCUAGGGCUCAGGUGAUUCUGAUGUGUGCUGAAGUUUAA